rnacentral:rRNA from 1 species
GAUGAACGCUUUCUACAGGCUUAACACAUGCAAGUCGAGGGGCAGCAUUUCAGUUUGCUUGCAAACUGGAGAUGGCGACCGGCGCACGGGUGAGUAACACGUAUCCAACCUGCCGAUAACUCGGGGAUAGCCUUUCGAAAGAAAGAUUAAUACCCGAUGGUAUAAUCAGACCGCAUGGUCUUGUUAUUAAAGAAUUUCGGUUAUCGAUGGGGAUGCGUUCCAUUAGGCAGUUGGUGAGGUAACGGCUCACCAAGCCUUCGAUGGAUAGGGGUUCUGAGAGGAAGGUCCCCCACAUUGGAACUGAGACACGGUCCAAACUCCUACGGGAGGCAGCAGUGAGGAAUAUUGGUCAAUGGGCGCAGGCCUGAACCAGCCAAGUAGCGUGAAGGAUGACUGCCCUAUGGGUUGUAAACUUCUUUUAUAUGGGAAUAAAGUUUUCCACGUGUGGAAUUUUGUAUGUACCAUAUGAAUAAGGAUCGGCUAACUCCGUGCCAGCAGCCGCGGUAAUACGGAGGAUCCGAGCGUUAUCCGGAUUUAUUGGGUUUAAAGGGAGCGUAGGUGGACAGUUAAGUCAGUUGUGAAAGUUUGCGGCUCAACCGUAAAAUUGCAGUUGAUACUGGCUGUCUUGAGUACAGUAGAGGUGGGCGGAAUUCGUGGUGUAGCGGUGAAAUGCUUAGAUACCACGAAGAACUCCGAUUGCGAAGGCAGCUCACUGGACUGCAACUGACACUGAUGCUCGAAAGUGUGGGUAUCAAACAGGAUUAGAUACCCUGGUAGUCCACACAGUAAACGAUGAAUACUCGCUGUUUGCGAUAUACAGUAAGCGGCCAAGCGAAAGCAUUAAGUAUUCCACCUGGAGAGUACGCCGGCAACGGUGAAACUCAAAGGAAUUGACGGGGGCCCGCACAAGCGGAGGAACAUGUGGUUUAAUUCGAUGAUACGCGAGGAACCUUACCCGGGCUUAAAUUGCAUUUGAAUAUAUUGGAAACAGUAUAGCCGUAAGGCAAAUGUGAAGGUGCUGCAUGGUUGUCGUCAGCUCGUGCCGUGAGGUGUCGGCUUAAGUGCCAUAACGAGCGCAACCCUUAUCUUUAGUUACUAACAGGUCAUGCUGAGGACUCUAGAGAGACUGCCGUCGUAAGAUGUGAGGAAGGUGGGGAUGACGUCAAAUCAGCACGGCCCUUACGUCCGGGGCUACACACGUGUUACAAUGGGGGGUACAGAAGGCAGCUACCUGGUGACAGGAUGCUAAUCCCAAAAGCCUCUCUCAGUUCGGAUCGAAGUCUGCAACCCGACUUCGUGAAGCUGGAUUCGCUAGUAAUCGCGCAUCAGCCAUGGCGCGGUGAAUACGUUCCCGGGCCUUGUACACACCGCCCGUCAAGCCAUGAAAGCCGGGGGUACCUGAAGUACGUAACCGCAAGGAGCGUCCUAGGGUAAAACUGGUAAUUGGGGCU